ACGGACAGCUGCAAGAGUCCCGCCCCGUGCCUGAGGUCAGGAGCGGGCCGGGCCUGCGCGGUAGUGGGACCCGACCCUGUCUCUAGUGGGCGUCUUGGGCCCCGGCUCUAUUCUGGGCUGCGGGCCUGGGAAAGGCUCCCCGGGUGCCAAGUGAGCUGUCCUAACUCUGCGGGGCUGCAGCUUUCUGCAUGAUGCUGGGGAGCUUGGCGCCUGACCCAGGAUAUAGAAGGCACUGUGGGCAGGCCGCGCUCCGCUCUCGAAGGAGCCGCUUUUUGCAGCACCAGGCAAACACUUACACCAGUGCUUUGUAAAGGAAUCUUAUUGUCCACCCCGUGUCUUGGCAAAAGAACAGUGAUCACACAGAUUCCUACUUGGGCUCUUUUCUUUAAUCUUCGGAGGCUGAGUUUGUCCAACUCAGGUAUGCCGCAGCACACUACUUCAUCUCGGGUCUCCUUGCCCUUCUGCAGCUCUUCAUUGCUAUCCAAGGUUUAACCACCAAGGACUCUGAGAGCUGGCAGGUCUGAGUAACCCUGGUAACAAUUCUCUUCACCUUAUCAAAACCUGAGCUGAAACCAAUGCAUCAGCUGAUGAUGACAGCAGGGAGUAGCAGGGCUGAGGACCCAAUAUUCAUUUCCCAGGCUGGUGGAGAGUUUUUUUUCUCAGUCAACUGAAUUCUUUUUUUCCACUUUGUCUUGCCACUCUUAAUGCAUGCAUGAGAGGCCCUAAGAUAAUUUCUGAUGGCCUGGGACUCCUUGGGAAAAAAAUGAAAAGGCACCACAGAUUCUAUUUUGGGAGAAACCUCCAUUUUCCUCAUGAAACCCCAGGAAUUA